AGAUUUAUUGGUUCAUACAACGCCAGUGUGAGCCUCCAGUGCACAUACUGCAAUCAGUUGGAAGGACUAGUGCUCACUCUGUCUUCAACACAAGGGAUUUAGAAAGAAAUACUCCCUACAGACAUUUAGUAGGCUAGUUAUACACAAUGUGACCAGGACUGAGCUUGGAUCAUACUAUUGUAGAAUAGAGGAGCAUGUUACAUUCAGCAAUGGCACCACACUCAUUAUAACAGGUACAUGUAAGUGUUUGUGAAUACGUGAAUAUGUCUAUAUGUUUAGAGCACUGCCAUUUGAAGAAACAAAUUCCUUUUUGAAAGAGUUAUAGAAGGUUUCUACAUUUUCCAUUUUAAUGACCAUGAUUUUUACAGUUUAAUGCCACAGGUGGUAUUGUGUGAUCAGCUGUUAUGUGCUGCUAAGCCUUGGUUUUAUGUCAAUUUAUAUGUGGAUUAAGAAUUUAAACUGAACCUGCAAACCUGUCUUUGUGAGUGUAAUAUAUACUACUCAUGAAAACAUUUUCUUUUCUAGAGGACCAUCAUUCUCCAAGCAAUUUGACGAGGAUAGAGCCUCAGCAACCUCAACAAUGGCCACAGGACUAUCUAAAAUCAAUGACGUCUUUCCCCUUUGUUGUGUCGUGUCUUCUCAACUGUAUCCUCAUCACUCUACUCUCAGUGGCGGUAAAGAGAUGUUCAACUCUGAAGAAAAACAACACAAGUGUGGAGCCGCCCCAUGACUCUGACCCUCACAAUUCUGAAAUGAUGUUGUCCACAACACCAAGAGCAACACGGAUAAGAAACCUUGACAGCUCUUACACAGAGAUACUAUACUCUAAGGUUUAGGAUGGGUUUUGCACUUUUCUAUAGACAUAAUCUAUAUCACAAUGUACUGUUUUUAAUUGUGGAAGACCAAAGAAAUACUGCAAUGGCAUUUCCAUAUUCUUACAUCAUUUUAGUAAUAAUAAUAAUAAUAAUGAUAAUAACAAUAAAAAUGUAUUUAUAAUGUGCCUUUCAAGACACCAAAGCUCGCUUCACAAUUGAAAAAAAAAAAACACAACACAAAACACAAAAAUAGUAAGUCAAGGGCAUUGGUGAUUCUCCUGGCAAUGGAGAACUUUAAACAGCAAAAUGGUAUUCUUGAACAGUCCAAUCAUAGCAUAUUAGGCUGUAACAUAGGUCAGGUGUCCUUGAACGUCCAACCAGGCGCCUUCUUUUAGCACUGCAUUAUCAGAGAAAAAUGUGGAGGAGUCACAUAAAGUCCAAAAGUGAAACAUAAUCACAAUUGACAUUGCAUGCAUUAUUCACAUUAAAUAUGUCAAUGUAAAUGUAUCACUUUCUCUGUGACUGAGAUGCUGUGAUAAAUUGAAGUUUUUGUAUCUGUCAACUCAAAGUCAUUUUUGUGAGUGUUACUGCUGUGCAGUGUUCAUGAAGUCACUGUUUGACGUCUUUAACAAGUCAAGUUCAAAUGAAAAACUGUUUUCACUAUUUACAUUUCCUGAUUUUAUUCUUUUAGUUGGGGCGAAAAUGAAAAUCAAUUUCCUGAAACACUGAACGUAUGUUUGCACACGUGUGACAGAUGCUUGCUGAUUGUAUUUAUUGUUUUGUUGUGUUUACUCUUGUCUGAUUUGGGCCUGUUUGUCAUGUGACAACAGAUCAUUCCUGUGUAUAAAGUUUUCUUUGGAAGCCGACAUUGUAAACAAUAUGCAGUGAGUCAGUCAGUAGAUUUGUGAAACCUUAAAGGUGUAGGUUUUUAUCUGGUGAAGCAAUGACUGGACAUUAUCAUGUAAUUGCUAAUGUAGAUGUAUGGGAAGAUACUUAUUUCUUUAUGGUGCUCUUACAUCACCUCACCA